GAAUUGACGGGGACCCGCACAAGUAGCGGAGCAUGUGGUUUAAUUCGAAGCAACGCGAAGAACCUUACCUAAGCUUGACAUCCCAAUGACAUCUCCUUAAUCGGAGAGUUCCCUUCGGGGACAUUGGUGACAGGUGGUGCAUGGUUGUCGUCAGCUCGUGUCGUGAGAUGUUGGGUUAAGUCCCGCAACGAGCGCAACCCUUGUCUUUAGUUGCCAUCAUUAAGUUGGGCACUCUAGAGAGACUGCCAGGGAUAACCUGGAGGAAGGUGGGGAUGACGUCAAAUCAUCAUGCCCCUUAUGCUUAGGGCUACACACGUGCUACAAUGGGUAGUACAGAGGGUUGCCAAGCCGUAAGGUGGAGCUAAUCCCUUAAAGCUACUCUCAGUUCGGAUUGUAGGCUGAAACUCGCCUACAUGAAGCUGGAGUUACUAGUAAUCGCAGAUCAGAAUGCUGCGGUGAAUGCGUUCCCGGGUCUUGUACACACCGCCCGUCACACCACGGGAGUUGGAGACGCCCGAAGCCGA
rnacentral:rRNA from 1 species